rnacentral:rRNA from 1 species
GACAGAGGUGCCAAGCGUUUAGGCGGAAUCACUGGGCUUAAAGCGUGUGUAGGUGGAUGUCUAAGUACCUUGUGAAAUCCCAUGGCUCAACCAUGGAACUGCUCGGUAUACUGGAUGUCUUGAGCCACUUAGGGGCUACCGGAACAAAUGGUGGAGCGGUGAAAUGCGUAGAUAUCAUUUGGAACGCCAAUGGUGAAAACAGGUAGCUGGGAGUGUGCUGACACUGAGACACGAAAGCCAGGGGAGCGAAACGGGG